rnacentral:lncRNA from 1 species
AAUAAAUAAAUAAAAUAAAUAAAUGUAGUAGUAAAAUGAAGGGAAGUGAUCAGUGUGAUUGCGUGGACCACCGACACGUGCCGAUUUGGCACCGACUUUUGCAAGACACCGUUAUGGUGGUUGACUUUGUAACGACAAACCGAUGGAUCUGACAUUUUUAUUUUGAAUUCGUUCCACCGAAAGUUGCACCAAACGUGGAUCCCCUUUGCGCCACAAUUACAAUCCACUCUCCUUCUCACGUUUUAUUUAGCAUGUUAAUUUUACCUUAAUUAGUUUAAUGACAUGCUAUCCCGAGCCCUACUGUCCAAAUAUCCAAUCCAAUUACGUAAGGCAAUAAUAGAUAUUUCUGCAUUAGGAGAAUUAAACAUGAGACCAAUGCUUAAACUAUUGUGUGAAAGUUCAAUGUUAAUAUUAAAGAUAAGUCUCCAUAAUAUUUAACAAUUUUUUUUUAUUAAAUGGAUCCAAUGUGUAAAUAUGUAUUGCAUGGGCAUGGUAGUUAACAAUUCAUUACCUACUACCUUGUAUACAACUUCUUAAUUUAACAAAGGUACGGUAAAGUAAGAGGGAAAAAAAAAUUAUAUUUUGUCUUGAUAUUUUUAGAAAUAGAGCUGUCAAUAUGGCCGAAAGGAUCUUCCCACUAUCAAAGUGUCAACAAGAUAUAUCUAUUUGCACUAUUUUGUGUAUUUUGAAAGAAGUUAGCGUUUGACAAUAUCAUAAUAAUUCAUAAAUUUAGUUAUUGAGCAUUUUUUUUAAUUUACAAAUAAAACGACAAUGCACAUCAGACAUGCUUGCUGAUUUGAUGAGAAAUGCUAAUCAAAUACUAGAGUAUCACAUUCUCUGAUCAUAUCUAUCAGUUUUUUAUUUUGAUAAACUCAUCCGUACCUCAUAUUCCCAUCCUCUUAUUCACCAAAACUUAAAGUUGAUGCACAAUUAAAUAAAGACAUUAUAAGUACAUUUUUUUUAUAUACAUAGUGCAUGAUCAAAUAACAAAUUUCACCUAUAAAUGGAGUUAUUUAUAAAUCUUGUAAACUCAAGAAAAA